rnacentral:rRNA from 1 species
GAGACAUUCAUAUAUAUGAGUGUUUCUUUUAGAUAGCUUCCUUCAGUACCUUAUGAGAAAUCAAAGUCUUUGGGUUCUGGGGCGAGUAUUCGCGCAAGCGAGAAAGUUAAAAGAAUUGACGGAAGGGCACCACCAGGCGUGGAGCUUGCGGCUUAAUUUGACUCAACACGGGGAAACUCACUAGUUUAAGACAAGAGUAGGAUUGACAGAUUAAUAGCUCUUUCUUGAUUUCUUGGAUGGUGAUGCAUGGCCGUUUUUAGUUCGUGAAUAUGAUUUGUCUGGUUAAUUCCGAUAACGAACGAGAUCUUAACCUGCUAAUUAGCGGUAAAUACACUAUAUUCUUAAGUGAAAUUAGAAUAUAGAUAAAUUGUGCUAAUUUUGAUUAAAAUAUUAGAAUGUUUUUUUUAAUAAAAACGUUCUUUUCCC